rnacentral:lncRNA from 1 species
CCAACCUUACAAAUUUCAAACCACAACCAAUACAAAAUAACAAUACUAAAACAAUCCAAUACUUGACAUAAAACACUUAUCAUGUAUCAUUAUCAAAUAUCAAUUUACUUAUUUCACUUUACAAUCACUGUAAUAGGCCAAUUUUGGCCCAGAUUAAAAAUAAUAAAUAAAACCAAAUUAUAAAGUCCAAAUCUUUUAAACAGUCUAUUUACAGACCUUGACCCAAUUACCUAGACCCAAAACCCAAAGCCCGAAGUUCAAAUCAGACAGCCCAAAUCCAAUUACAUCAGCCCAAGACCUAAAAAUACAUGGCCCAAUGGCCCAAAACCUAGACCUAGGUUCGGCCAAACAGAAGCUUAGGGUUUCUCUCGCGCCGCUCCCUCACGUACGGCCUCCACUGCGUCUCUGUACGCCAGCGCACAGUAUCUGUACGAGCACCACGCACACCGUGUACCUGCAAACAGACAAGGGAACAACAGCAAAUAGAAACAGAAAAUAGAAAAACUGGUAUUUUUUUUAUUUUUUUUAUUUUCUUUCAUCGGCUAUAAAGCCCAAGACAGAAGGAAUGUAUUUUUUUACACAAUAGAAAGUAAUCAAAUAGAAAGAAAAUAGGGCAAGGUGGUUUAUUCAUUAUUUUUCUCUUUUAUUUCUUACUUACUUUCUUUUUUGAUUGAUUAUACUAAUAAAAAAGGAAAAAAAGAAAAUAGGGUCUUACCUUGCAAAUACGUCGUAGACUUCCUUUUGCUUUGUUGAAAUCGAAGCCAAGAGGAUAUCUCGAGGCUGAAAUUCCUCCAGGCUUGAAGAACACCAUCUGGUGGAGAUGAAUCGACCAUUAGGAAGAAGGAUUUAGGAUUUGAAAAAGGAAAGAGAAAGGGGAUUAUUUUGGUUCGCCU